rnacentral:rRNA from 1 species
AGAAUCAACGCUGGCGGCGUGCCUAACACAUGCAAGUCGAACGAGAAAGGGGAGCAAUCCCUGAGUACAGUGGCGACCGGGUGAGUAACACGUGACUAACCUACCCUCGAGUGUGGAAUAACAUCGGGAAACCGAUGCUAAUACCGCAUAACAUCGCAAGAUCAAAGGAGUAAUCCGCUUGAGGAGGGGGUCGCGGCUGAUUAGCUAGUUGGCGGGGUAAUGGCCCACCAAGGCGAAGAUCGGUAUCCGGCCUGAGAGGGCGCACGGACACACUGGAACUGAAACACGGUCCAGACUCCUACGGGAGGCAGCAGUGGGGAAUUUUGCGCAAUGGGGAAACCCUGACGCAGCAACGCCGCGUGGAGGAUGAAGCCCCUUGGGGCGUAAACUCCUUUCGACCAAGACGAUAAUGACGGUACUGGUGGAAGAAGCACCGGCUAACUCUGCGCCAGCAGCCGC